AGGGUUUGAUCCUGGCUCAGAUUGAACGCUGGCGGCAUGCCUUACACAUGCAAGUCGAACGGCAGCACGGGAGCUUGCUCCUGGUGGCGAGUGGCGAACGGGUGAGUAAUAUAUCGGAACGUGCCCUAGAGUGGGGGAUAACUAGUCGAAAGAUUAGCUAAUACCGCAUACGAUCUAAGGAUGAAAGUGGGGGAUCGCAAGACCUCAUGCUCGUGGAGCGGCCGAUAUCUGAUUAGCUAGUUGGUGAGGUAAAGGCUCACCAAGGCGACGAUCAGUAGCUGGUCUGAGAGGACGACCAGCCACACUGGAACUGAGACACGGUCCAGACUCCUACGGGAGGCAGCAGUGGGGAAUUUUGGACAAUGGGCGCAAGCCUGAUCCAGCAAUGCCGCGUGAGUGAAGAAGGCCUUCGGGUUGUAAAGCUCUUUUGUCAGGGAAGAAACGGUUCUGGUUAAUACCCGGGGCUAAUGACGGUACCUGAAGAAUAAGCACCGGCUAACUACGUGCCAGCAGCCGCGGUAAUACGUAGGGUGCAAGCGUUAAUCGGAAUUACUGGGCGUAAAGCGUGCGCAGGCGGUUGUACAAGACAGAUGUGAAAUCCCCGGGCUU
rnacentral:rRNA from 1 species